UACGUAGGGGGCUAGCGUUGUCCGGAAUCAUUGGGCGUAAAGAGCGUGUAGGCGGUCCGGUAAGUCCGCUGUGAAAGUCGGGGGCUCAACCCUCGAAUGCCGGUGGAUACUGUCGGGCUAGAGUGCGGAAGAGGCGAGUGGAAUUCCUGGUGUAGCGGUGGAAUGCGCAGAUAUCAGGAGGAACACCGAUAGCGAAGGCAGCUCGCUGGGACGGUACUGACGCUGAGGCGCGAAAGCGUGGGGAGCAAACAGG
rnacentral:rRNA from 1 species